UCAGACCUGGAAGCUCUUGCUGCUAGAGGCCAAAGAAAAUUAGGACAAUAGAAAUUCACUUGUAAUUGAAUGAAGUAGAUAGUGGCAUCACAUUUGCUGUUUUCCAAUCUGCCGGAACUGCACCAUAUUCCAGAGAAUUUUGCUUCUCUCGAGCUUCCCCUACAUUCAGCAUUCUUAGAGCUGGGUUCAUCAGUUUGGGAUCAAUGACUGCACCAAAAUAUAUCUUCAAAUUCUGGGUUACUAACCAAAAAAAGAUUUACAUGACAUUUGCCUUAGAAGCCUUUGUUGACAUCCCAUCCCAUCCCUCCAUCAUGGACACUCAGUAGCAGCGGUGUGUACCAUGUACAAGAUGCACUGCAGAAAUUCUUCCAUGGACAGCAUCUUCCAAAUCCAUGACCACUUCCAUCUAGAAGCACAAGGACAGCAGAUACAUGGGAACAUCAACACCUGCAAGACCCCCGCAAGCCACUUACUGUCUUGACUUGAAAAUAUAUCAUCAUUCCUGCAGUAUUGCUGGAUCUAAGUCCUAGAAUUCCCCCUCUAAUGGCACUGAGAGUCUACCUACAGCACAUGGAUUGCAGCAGUUCAAGAAGACAGCUCACCACCACCUUCUCAAUGUCAACAAGGGAAGACAAUAGAUAUUGGCCACCGGUAACAGCCAUAUCCCACAAGUGAAUUAAAAAAAGGAACAUAAUUGGCAAGUGAAUUUUAAUCAAGAUGUUGCCAGUGGCAUCUGCUCCUAUCCAGAAAUCAAGAGUGACAGUAACAUUGAGGACCAUGGGCAGUGCUGUUAUUGCUGUAUUGCAUGCCUGAAGAUCACAUUGUAUAAGAUAGUAUGACUACCAUCUUGGACGGACACAGGUAUCUGAGACAAUGCUCCUGGCUGACGUGAAGUUAGAAGUGAUCCCUAAAAACCUGGGGUUUACUGCCCUUCUCCUCUGCACACAACUACUCUCUGCUAUUUGUGCUUCAUUUCCCAAGACUGGUUGUAACUCGAGUCCUAUCAUUGAUACAGGCUUUCUCCUGAUGGGCCAAUUAACUCCUCCAUUUCCUGGUCAGGAUUGGCUCUCACUGCCUUUGAAAUCCAAACAGCAAGUUCAGAACUCCUCCAAUAAUACAGAGCACAGUC